GAUGAAGAACGUAGCGAAAUGCGAUAAGUAAUGCGAAUUGCAGAAUUUCCGUGAGUCAUCGAAUCUUUGAACGCACAUUGCGCCCGUCAGUAUUCUGACGGGCAUGCCUGUCCGAGCGUCAUUUCAACCCUCAAGCACUGCUUGGCGUUGGCGGAUUGCGUGCCCUCGCGGCGCUGCAACCGCCCAAAUACAGUGGCGGUCCCGCUGCGGCUCCCUUUGCGUAGUAACUCACCUCGCACUGGACCGGGCGGCGGCCUGCCGUAAAACCCCAACUCACGAAAUGUUGACCUCGGAUCAGGUAGGAAUACCCGCUGAACUUAAGCAUAUCAAUAAGCGGAGGA
rnacentral:misc_RNA from 1 species